rnacentral:lncRNA from 1 species
UGAUAGUUUUUGGUACAGAAUGCUGGAGAAGGGUCUCAAAGGGACGCUUACUCAUGAGGUGGGUGGGACGGUGUUGUAAGACCUCCUGAAUGUGAUGAUGUCCAAAUGCAGGACAGCUUUAUGAGGGUAGGGUGCUAUGGAGCGUAUACUUCUCUAGAUAUUUAUAAGUGCUUGUAUUUGUAUGAAAUAAAAGCAAGAAGCCAUGCUAACAACAAAGUGACACCAAAUAUUGCCGUGGCUGACACCAGAGCCUCAACCCUUGGCUCUGUUUCAGGAGCUCCAGUAAUCAAAAGAUAAGUAUGCUGAAUGAGGCUUUGGGGAGGUCUGAGGAGGAAGGAAGACAACAUUCUCAAGUUUGCAAGUGACCCAAACUGCCUGAGAAAUUUGGGGAGCACCAUGAAGUAUGAUCAGCACAGCCUAAAAGAUGUACAAAUAUUUGAAUAAUGGUUCAGCAGUCUUCCCUUUGAGGAGCCGAGAGCACUUGUGCCAGAAAAGACUCUGCUUUUACAGAUGGCCAGCCUGAGGCUAGGAUAGCCAUUUCCCCAAAUAGGGAGCAGACCAGGACUUGCAGAAACAAAACAGAUCACGCCAUUGCUGGCUUGUCUCUUUGUUCUGGUGUCGAGAUCAGGCCCCUCCCUCCACCACUGAAGAGACGGAGAGGAAAGCUAAAAAUGGCUCUGUUCAGGGGGUCACAGAAUUUGGAGUCAGCUUUGUGCCUCGGGCCGUGGUCGCGCGCCCACUGUGUUCCUCGGGAGACGCCACACGCGGUUGCAGGCGGGCGCGGGCGGGGCGCUCAGCAUGGCAAGUCUGCACGUGUAUCCAAGUUGCCGCGACUCAGCGAUGAUUUUCUGGCAGGAAAAAAAAAAAUUGGCACUAACACUUUAACAUCCCACAUCGAAGAAGUUCUGGAAACAAAGCAUGCUCACCCCCACACCAGCACCAAGCAGCAAAUUAAAGACAGUCUAAUUUAUUCAAAAAAACGCUGCUACAGCAUGGCUUGAUGAGUGGUAUGCAGUUCUGUGCCCAGGAUCCAAACCCAGGAACACCAGGCCACCGAAGUGGAGUGUGCAAACUUAACCACUAUGCCACCAGGCCGGCCCCCAUGAAGAACUCUUUAACACACCUUUGGGCAUUCUUGUUGGGCUUUCUCUAUCUCUCAAAGACCUAAGGUCCAGAGUAUAUUUUGGGAAGGCUUGCUUUAUACUCAGAGAGAAUUGCUUCCUCCUACUUUAAAAACAGAAAGGAAGAUAAAGAUCUCAUUUCCAUAACACAAUGUAUAAAGACAACCUGAUUCAGCUGAUGACUGCCAAGCCC